rnacentral:tRNA from 1 species
CUUCACCAUCACCGUCGAAGAGGGCGUGGAGGGCGACCGCCACACCUGCGGCACCACCUACGCCGGCCUCGCC